CAAGCCCUCAGGAAGAGGAGACACUAAGGAAAAACUGACCCAACAAAUGUCUUCCCUCUCUGCAACUCUAUCCCUUUGGAGAACUCUCCUCCACUCCUCCACAUUCCACAGGACGCUCACCAGGAGGAGAGUCCGGGCUCCCAGCGUUCCAGCCGGCCUAAUUCCUCGAGGUCCAAGUUCAAAGAUCGCACCAUCAGAUCCCCGGACUGAGCGGAUCCAGCCUCCCAAAUGCUUGCUGCCCUCCACUAAGAUCACCUGGAGCCAAAAGGUCCCUCUGACUCUCCGUCUGUUCCAUUCUGGCGGCCUGCGACUGCGCUUCUCUCUCCUGCUUCCGGAUUGGUGGGUCUUGGAAAGCGGGUUCUGGAUUGGUGGGCUCUGGAUCCAUCCACCAAUGAAAACACCGAACUGGCAGUGACGCUGCCGGCGGAGCAACAGAGAAAGUCCGCUCCAUGGAACAGGUUAACCCGUUCUUUGCCUAAUCGGAGUUAGUUGCAGUAGCCGGCGUGGCCUUCCCCAGGGCCAAGACAGCAAAAAGCUGAAUCCGGGAGUUAGCAUUCCCCAGCUCAAGCUUCCCAGGUCUGCGGUGAGAAACCUGGAGGGAGGGAGGGCCCCACGAGCUUUAGUUAGAAAGAGACACUUGGAGGCCAGUCCGUGGGGAGGCGGCUCCAUAAACAGCUCCUUGAUGUUAGCAACAGACAGGGCCUGCGGGAGCGAAGGCCACCUGGCAACGCAACCAGUGUUUGUCAACAGGGGUUCUUGGGUGCCUGGCCCUCGAGGGGCAGUCCCCCUCUCAGGUAAAAACUGGCGUGCCAAUGCCUGCACUCUGGUUUUCAGGCCUCAUCGCAACUUCACAGGUCUCAAGGUUUGUCGUCCUGGUACUACAACUAGUGUUGAGGUGCAAGUCUGGGGCCUGCUCAAUCUGGUCUCUUCCGUCUGCUCUGAGAGCGCUCCCGCCUGGAGACGGAAUUUAGUCCCGGAAAGGCUCCAGUUGAACCAAAGUUUUAGAUCUCCAUUCCCUCUUAGCCGCAAAUACAAACAUGAACAUCACUUUUUCUUAAUAAAUUUAUUCACAAAAAGUGA